rnacentral:rRNA from 1 species
GCUCCUAGUACGAGAGGACCGGAGUGGACGCAUCACUGGUGUUCGGGUUGUCAUGCCAAUGGCACUGCCCGGUAGCUAAAUGCGGAAGAGAUAAGUGCUGAAAGCAUCUAAGCACGAAACUUGCCCCGAGAUGAGUUCUCCCUGACUCCUUGAGAGUCCUGAAGGAACGUUGAAGACGACGACGUUGAUAGGCCGGGUGUGUAAGCGCAGCGAUGCGUUGAGCUAACCGGUACUAAUGAACCGUGAGGCUUAACCUUACAACGCCGAAGGUGUUU